GUAGCCGGAGCGAAAGCGAGUCUUAACAGGGCGUUCAGUCAGCAGUAGCAGACGCGAAACUUGGUGAUCUACCCAUGGGCAGGGUGAAGUGUGAGUAACAUCACAUGGAGGCCCGAACCAGUUGACGUUGAAAAGUCUUUGGAUGACCUGUGGGUAGGGGUGAAAGGCCAAUCAAACUGAGAGAUAGCUCGUACUCCCCGAAAUGCUUUUAGGAGCAGCGUGUGGGUGAGUUUACUAGAGGUAGAGCUACCGAUUGGACUAGGGGGAGUCACAUCCUACCAAAUCCAGACGAACUCCGAAUGCUAGUAAAUAUACCACGCAGUGAGGGUUGGGGUGCUAAGGUCCCAAUCCGAGAGGGAAAGAACCCAGACCUACAGCUAAGGUCCCAAAAUCUACGCUAAGUUGAACUAAGGAGGUCCAGUUGCUUAGACAGCCAGGAUGUUGGCUUGGAAGCAGCCAUU
rnacentral:rRNA from 1 species